UAGUCGUAUGCUUCUUUCAGGGGCUAACCCAUGCAAGUCUCAAAGUACGCGGAUUAUACACAGCGGAUCUGCCAACGGCUUAUUAUAUCAGCGAUAGUCUACGUAGGGACGCAUUUGGGGGGCUCGGGGGUUGGCAACAACUCCUCCCGCACGCCCCGCCAGCCGGAUACCCUUCCCAACGGGAUGGCUAAUACGUGUACGCAUAACCCUUCCUCGCCCAAGGGCACCGCCUAGCUGGCUAGGGGGGGUUCUGAGGCGGGGUGCAUUGAGCCGCCACAAAAACGGGCACCUGCAACGGGUAGAGGUGUUUAUGGGUGAUCCAGGCUCAAGCGGGGGGUGAUAGCGAAGUGGCCUUCUCGGGCUGCCGCGGCACUACACGGACUCCUGACCUAUCAGCUGUCGAUUGUGGCAGCGAGUACUGCGAUGGCGAUCACGGGUAACGGGGAAUUAGGGUUCGAUUCCGGAGAGGGAGCCUGAGAAACGGCUACCACGGCUACGGCCGGCAGCAGGCGCGCAAAUUGCCCAAUACCAUCACCUAGGUGAGGCAGCGACAAGCAGUAGCAACUCCGCCCGUCCAUGUGAUGGGCGAGGUUCGCAAUGGAUGUCUAAUGUAAACAAACCAAUGAGUAACAACU
rnacentral:rRNA from 1 species